rnacentral:rRNA from 2 species
GGGUUGUGAGGUUAAGCGACUAAGCGUACACGGUGGAUGCCCUGGCAGUCAGAGGCGAUGAAGGACGUGCUAAUCUGCGAUAAGCGCCGGUAAGGUGAUAUGAACCGUUAUAACCGGCGAUUUCCGAAUGGGGAAACCCAGUGUGACUCGUCACACUAUCAUUAACUGAAUCCAUAGGUUAAUGAGGCGAACCGGGGGAACUGAAACAUCUAAGUACCCCGAGGAAAAGAAAUCAACCGAGAUUCCCCCAGUAGCGGCGAGCGAACGGGGAGGAGCCCAGAGCCUGAAUCAGCAUGUGUGUUAGUGGAAGCGUCUGGAAAGGCGCGCGAUACAGGGUGACAGCCCCGUACACAAAAGCGCAUGUGCUGUGAGCUCGAUGAGUAGGGCGGGACACGUGGUAUCCUGUCUGAAUAUGGGGGGACCAUCCUCCAAGGCUAAAUACUCCUGACUGACCGAUAGUGAACCAGUACCGUGAGGGAAAGGCGAAAAGA